rnacentral:tRNA from 1 species
GGGAGUGUAGUACAGUGGUAGAACACUUUCCUAGCAUGUGUAAGGCCCUGGGUUCAAUUCCCAGCACCCUUA